AUACGAAGGGUGCGAGCGUUGUUCGGAAUUAUUGGGCGUAAAGCGCGUGUAGGCGGUUUUUAAGUCUGAUGUGAAAGCCCCGGGCUCAACCUGGGAAGUGCAUUGGAAACUGGGAGACUUGAAUACGGGAGAGGGUAGUGGAAUUCCUAGUGUAGGAGUGAAAUCCGUAGAUAUUAGGAGGAACACCGGUGGCGAAGGCGGCUACCUGGACCGAUAUUGACGCUGAGACGCGAAAGCGUGGGGAGC
rnacentral:rRNA from 1 species